CUAGCAUGCAUGAACUUCUUGGCAAGAAAAAAAGAAAAAAAAUUCCCUAUUAAUAGGAUAAACUUGGGCAACCAGGUAUAGUAUACUGAGAGCUUACAGUAUUGUUUCUGGAGUAUUGCUGCCCAAAAUGUACAACCUGAACCUAAUAAUAUUUCAGAAAACAGGAGACAAAUAAAUAUGAUGAGAAUUCUAGAAACUGUCCAAAGCUCAUAAAGAGAAGAGCAACUGCACUGGAUCAAAAGAGAUAAGAAAAAUAAAUGUUAAGGUGUGAUAUAAUACUUAUUCAGACAAUAUAUCGGUGUUAAUUUUCCAAAUUUGAAAGCUGUUCUAUGGUUAAAUAAGACUGCAUUUUAGGAAAACAGCCAUUUAGGUCACCACCCACUGAAAUUUACUCUCAAAAAUAUUUAGGAAAAAAAUGUAUUUAUGUGCAUGUGUAUAUAGAAUCAGAAUAAAGUUAAUAUGAGACACAAGAAUCUGGGUAAAAUAUAAAUACACAUAAAAUAUCUUCCUUGCAACUUUCCUAUAAAUAUGAAAUUAGGAAGUUUCAAAUAAUAGGAAAAAAAUUAAAGUUAAUUUACAUUUGGACAUGAUACCAAUAAAAGGAAUUAUGAGAGACUGAGUGAUGGUUGUCUUCACAAAGGGUUUCAGAACGAGGCCCCUGCUGUUUUAAUCUCCACAAACUGCACUUCCUGGGCAAAAGUCACCAUAGUGGACAUCAGAUGUAUUGUUUGUAAAAAUCAGUCAAAUCUACUCUUCACACAAGUUUUCCUAAAAGGUUUGUUGAAAAUGACGACUCGGUUCAGGGGAAAAGAAGAGCAUGAAACACUACUAUACACAGAAGAUCCUCAAAAAUCUAUGGGUUCUUCAUCUAUGAACCCAACCAAUCACAAAUUUUAAAAUGUAUGUCUGCAUUUGACCAUGUUAUGUUCAGUUCAUGUUAUGUCUGUCUCUGUCAUUAAUCUCCAAACAAACA